rnacentral:rRNA from 1 species
UACGUAGGCAGCAAGCGUUGUUCGGAAUUACUGGGCGUAAAGAGUGUGUAGGCGGUGCUCUAAGUUCGGUGUGAAAUCUCCCGGCUCAACUGGGAGGGUGCGCCGGAAACUGGGGUGCUGGAGCGCGGGAGAGGAAAGCGGAAUUCCUGGUGUAGCGGUGAAAUGCGUAGAUAUCAGGAGGAACACCGGCGGUGUAGACGGCUUUCUGGACCGUAGCUGACGCUGAGACGCGAAAGCGUGGGUAGCAAACAGG